rnacentral:rRNA from 1 species
UACGUAGGGGGCUAGCGUUGUCCGGAAUCAUUGGGCGUAAAGAGCGUGUAGGCGGCCCGGUAAGUCCGCUGUAAAAGUCAAAGGCUCAACCUUUGAAUGUCAGUGGAUACUGCCGGGCUAGAGUCCGGAAGAGGCGAGUGGAACUCCUGGUGUAGCGGUGGAAUGCGCAGAUAUCAGGAAGAACACCAACGGCGAAGGCAGCUCGCUGGGACGGUACUGACGCUGAGACGCGAAAGCGUGGGGGAGCGAACAGGG